GACGAACGCUGGCGGCGUGCUUAACACAUGCAAGUCGAACGGAAAGGCCCUGCUUUUGUGGGGUGCUCGAGUGGCGAACGGGUGAGUAACACGUGAGUAACCUGCCCUUGACUUUGGGAUAACUUCAGGAAACUGGGGCUAAUACCGGAUAGGAGCUCCUGCUGCAUGGUGGGGGUUGGAAAGUUUCGGCGGUUGGGGAUGGACUCGCGGCUUAUCCGCUUGUUGGUGGGGUAGUGGCUUACCAAGGCUUUGACGGGUAGCCGGCCUGAGAGGGUGACCGGCCACAUGGGGACUGAGAUACGGCGCAGACUCCUACGGGAGGCAGCAGUGGGGAAUAUUGCACAAUGGGCGGAAGCCUGAUGCAGCAACGCCGCGUGCGGGAUGACGGCCUUCGGGUUGUAAACCGCUGUCGCCUGUGACGAAGCGUGAGUGACGGUAAUGGGUAAAGAAGCACCGGCUAACUACGUG
rnacentral:rRNA from 1 species